UACGUAGGGUCCGAGCGUUUGUCCGGAAUUACUGGGCGUAAAGAGCUCGUAGGUGGUUUGUCGCGUUGUUCGUGAAAACUCACAGCUCAACUGUGGGCGUGCGGGCGAUACGGGCAGACUUGAGUACUGCAGGGGAGACUGGAAGUUCCUGGUGUAGCGGUGGAAUGCGCAGAUAUCAGGAGGAACACCGGUGGCGAAGGCGGGUCUCGUGGGCAGUGAACUGACGCUGAGGAGCGAAAGCGUGGGGAGCGAACAGG
rnacentral:rRNA from 1 species